CAGUCGCCGCGGGAAUACGAAGGGGGCUAGCGUUGUUCGGAAUUACUGGGCGUAAAGCGCACGUAGGCGGAUACUUAAGUUAGGGGUGAAAUCCCAGGGCUCAACCCUGGAACUGCCUUUAAUACUGGGUAUCUUGAGUUCGAGAGAGGUAAGUGGAAUUCCGAGUGUAGAGGUGAAAUUCGUAGAUAUUCGGAAGAACACCAGUGGCGAAGGCGGCUUACUGGCUCAUUCUAGACGCUGAGGUGCGAAAGCGUGGGGAGCAAACAGGAUUAGAUACCCGGGUAGUCCCUGUCUCUUAUAC
rnacentral:rRNA from 1 species